rnacentral:rRNA from 1 species
AGAGUUUGAUCCUGGCUCAGGACGAACGCUGGCGGCGUGCUUAACACAUGCAAGUCGAACGGAAAGGCCCUUCGGGGUACUCGAGUGGCGAACGGGUGAGUAACACGUGGGUGAUCUGCCCUGCACUCUGGGAUAAGCCUGGGAAACUGGGUCUAAUACCGGAUAGGACCGCAUGCUUCAUGGUGUGUGGUGCAAAGCUUUUGCGGUGCGGGAUGAGCCCGCGGCCUAUCAGCUUGUUGGUGGGGUAAUGGCCUACCAAGGCGACGACGGGUAGCCGGCCUGAGAGGGUGACCGGCCACACUGGGACUGAGAUACGGCCCAGACUCCUACGGGAGGCAGCAGUGGGGAAUAUUGCACAAUGGGCGCAAGCCUGAUGCAGCGACGCCGCGUGAGGGAUGACGGCCUUCGGGUUGUAAACCUCUUUCAGUAGGGACGAAGCGAAAGUGACGGUACCUACAGAAGAAGGACCGGCCAACUACGUGCCAGCAGCCGCGGUAAUACGUAGGGUCCGAGCGUUGUCCGGAAUUACUGGGCGUAAAGAGCUCGUAGGUGGUUUGUCGCGUUGUUCGUGAAAACUCACAGCUUAACUGUGGGCGUGCGGGCGAUACGGGCAGACUAGAGUACUGCAGGGGAGACUGGAAUUCCUGGUGUAGCGGUGGAAUGCGCAGAUAUCAGGAGGAACACCGGUGGCGAAGGCGGGUCUCUGGGCAGUAACCGACGCUGAGGAGCGAAAGCGUGGGUAGCGAACAGGAUUAGAUACCCCGGUAGUCCAA